AUUGAACGCUGGCGGAAUGCUUUACACAUGCAAGUCGAGCGGCAGCGCGGGGCAACCUGGCGGCGAGCGGCGAACGGGUGAGUAAUACAUCGGAACGUGCCCAGACGUGGGGGAUAGCCCGGCGAAAGCCGGAUUAAUACCGCAUACGAUCUACGGAUGAAAGCGGGGGAUCGCAAGACCUCGCGCGUCUGGAGCGGCCGAUGGCAGAUUAGGUAGUUGGUGGGGUAAAGGCUUACCAAGCCUACGAUCUGUAGCUGGUCUGAGAGGACGACCAGCCACACUGGGACUGAGACACGGCCCAGACUCCUACGGGAGGCAGCAGUGGGGAAUUUUGGACAAUGGGGGCAACCCUGAUCCAGCCAUGCCGCGUGAGUGAAGAAGGCCU
rnacentral:rRNA from 1 species